UUUAAGUGAAGAGUUUGAUCCUGGCUCAGAGUGAACGCUGGCGGCAGGCCUAACACAUGCAAGUCGAACGGCAGCACAGUAAGAGCUUGCUCUUACGGGUGGCGAGUGGCGGACGGG
rnacentral:rRNA from 2 species